rnacentral:rRNA from 1 species
GUCGAUCCUGCCAGACCCGACUGCUAUCAGAGUGGGACUAAGCCAUGCGAGUCAACAUAGCAAUAUGUGGCAUACGGCUCAGUAACACGUAGUCAACAUGCCCAGGGGACGUGGAUAACCUCGGGAAACUGAGGAUAAACCGCGAUAAGUCACUACUUCUGGAAUGGGUAAUGACUCAAAUCUAUAUGGCCCCUGGAUUGGACUGCGGCCGAUCAGGCUGUUGGUGAGGUAAUGGCCCACCAAACCUGUAACCGGUACGGGCUCUGAGAGGAGGAGCCCGGAGAUGGGCACUGAGACAAGGGCCCAGGCCCUAUGGGGCGCAGCAGGCGCGAAACCUCCGCAAUAGGCGAAAGCUUGACAGGGUUACUCUGAGUGAUUUCCGUUAAGGAAAUCUUUUGGCACCUCUAAAAAUGGUGCAGAAUAAGGGGUGGGCAAGUCUGGUGUCAGCCGCCGCGGUAAUACCAGCACCCCGAGUGGUCGGGACGUUUAUUGGGCCUAAAGCAUCCGUAGCCGGUUCUACAAGUCUUCCGUUAAAUCCAACUGCUUAACAGGUGGGCUGCGGAAGAUACUAUAGAGCUAGGAGGCGGGAGAGGCAAGCGGUACUCGAUGGGUAGGGGUAAAAUCCGUUGAUCCAUUGAAGACCACCAGUGGCGAAGGCGGCUUGCCAGAACGCGCUCGACGGUGAGGGAUGAAAGCUGGGGGAGCAAACCGGAUUAGAUACCCGGGUAGUCCCAGCUGUAAACGAUGCAGACUCGGUGAUGAGUUGGCUAUAUGCCAACUCAGUGCCGCAGGGAAGCCGUUAAGUUUGCCGCCUGGGGAGUACGGUCGCAAGACUGAAACUUAAAGGAAUUGGCGGGGGAGCACCACAAGGGGUGAAGCCUGCGGUUCAAUUGGAUUCACGCCGGG